rnacentral:rRNA from 1 species
UACGUAGGGGGCAAGCGUUAUCCGGAUUUACUGGGUGUAAAGGGAGCGUAGACGGCGAGGCAAGUCUGAUGUGAAAGCCCGGGGCUCAACCCCGGAACUGCAUUGGAAACUGUUUUGCUAGAGUGCAGGAGAGGUAAGCGGAAUUCCUAGUGUAGCGGUGAAAUGCGUAGAUAUUAGGAGGAACACCAGAGGCGAAGGCGGCUUACUGGACUGUAACUGACGUUGAGGCUCGAAAGCGUGGGGAG